rnacentral:rRNA from 1 species
UACGUAGGGGCGAGCGUUGUCCGGAUUUACUGGGCGUAAAGGGCACGCAGGCGGUCCUGUCAGUUUCUAGUGACAGGUCAGAGCUUAACUCUGACAGGCCUAGAAAGACGGCAGGACUUGAGUACUUCAGAGGACGCGGAAUUCCAGGUGGAGCGGAUGAAAUGCGUAGAAGAUCGUGGAAGAACACCAAAGGCGAAAGGCAGCCGUGCCUGGGAAGUUACUGACGCUCAGGUGCGAAAGCGUAGGGGAGCGAAACGGG